rnacentral:rRNA from 1 species
CAUGGUGUCGUCAGCUCGUGCCGUGAGGUGUCGGGUUAAGUCCCAUAACGAGCGCAACCCUACCUUUAGUUGCCAUCAGGUAAUGCUGGGGACGUCUAAAGGAACUGCCUACGCAAGUAGUGAGGAAGGCGGGGAUGACGUCAAAUCAGCACGGCCCUUACGUCCAGGGCUACACACGUGCUACAAUGGCCGAUACAGAGGGCAGCUACCUGGUGACAGGAUGCAAAUCUCCAAAGUCGGUCUCAGUUCGGAUCGGAGUCUGCAACCCGACUCCGUGAAGUUGGAUUCGCUAGUAAUCGCGCAUCAGCCAUGGCGCGGUGAAUACGUUCCCGGGCCUU